UACGAAGGGGGCUAGCGUUGUUCGGAAUUACUGGGCGUAAAGCGCGCGCAGGCGGCCAUUCAAGUCAGGGGUGAAAGCCCAGAGCUCAACUCUGGAACUGCCCUUGAAACUGUAUGGCUUGAGUAUGAGAGAGGUGAGUGGAAUUCCCAGUGUAGAGGUGAAAUUCGUAGAUAUUGGGAAGAACACCGGUGGCGAAGGCGGCGCACUGGCUCAUUACUGACGCUCAGGCGCGACAGCGUGGGGAUCAAACAGG
rnacentral:rRNA from 1 species